AGAGUUUGAUCAUGGCUCAGAACGAACGCUGGCGGCGCGCCUAAUACAUGCAAGUCGAGCGAGAAGACGUAGCAAUACGUUUGUAAAGCGGCGAACGGGUGAGGAAUACAUGGGUAACCUACCCUAGAGUGGGGAAUAACUAGCCGAAAGGUUAGCUAAUACCGCGUACGCUUCUUGGACUUCGGUUCAGGGAGGAAAGGCGAUACCGAGGGUAUCGCGCUCUUGGAUGGGCUCAUGUCCUAUCAGCUUGUUGGUGAGGUAACGGCUCACCAAGGCUUCGACGGGUAGCUGGUCUGAGAGGACGAUCAGCCACACUGGCACUGCGACACGGGCCAGACUCCUACGGGAGGCAGCAGUAAGGAAUAUUGCGCAAUGGGCGAAAGCCUGACGCAGCGACGCCGCGUGGGGGAUGAAGGUCUUCGGAUUGUAAACCCCUUUCGGGAGGGAAGAUGGAAUGGGGUAACCCAUUCGGACGGUACCUCCAGAAGCAGCCACGGCUAACUUCGUGCCAGCAGCCGCGGUAAUACGAAGGUGGCAAGCGUUGUUCGGAUUUACUGGGCGUACAGGGAGCGUAGGCGGUUCGGUAAGCCCUCUGUGAAAUCUCCGGGCUUAACCUGGAACAGUCGGAGGGGACUGCUGGGCUAGAGGACGGGAGAGGAGCGCGGAAUUCCCGGUGUAGCGGUGAAAUGCGUAGAGAUCGGGAGGAAGGCCGGUGGCGAAGGCGGCGCUCUGGAACGUUUCUGACGCUGAGGCUCGAAAGCGUGGGGAGCAAACAGGAUUAGAUACCCUGGUAGUCCACGCCUUAAACUAUGAAUACUAAGUGUCGGCGGUUUACCGCCGGUGCCGCAGCUAACGCAUUAAGUAUUCCGCCUGGGAAGUACGGCCGCAAGGUUGAAACUUAAAGGAAUUGACGG
rnacentral:rRNA from 1 species